CCUACGGGGGACAGCAGUGAGGAAUAUUGGUCAAUGGGCUUACGCCUGAACCAGCAACGCCGCGUGAGUGAUGACGGCCUUCGGGUUGUAAAGCUCUGUCUUCAGGGACGAAAAUGACGGUACCUGCGGAGGAAGCAACGGCUAACUACGUGCCAGCAGCCGCGGUAAUACGUAGGUGGCGAGCGUUGUCCGGAUUUACUGGGCGUAAAGGGAGCGUAGGCGGUAUUUUAAGUGAGAUGUGAAAUACUCGGGCUCAACUUGAGUGCUGCAUUUCAAACUGGAAGUCUAGAGUGCAGGAGAGGAGAAGGGAAUGCCUGGUGUAGCGGUGAAAUGCGUAGAGAUUAGGAAGAACACCAGUGGCGAAGGCGAUUCUCUGGACUGUAACUGACGCUGAGGCACGAAAGCGUGGGUAGCAAACAGGAUUAGAUACCCGGGUAGUC
rnacentral:rRNA from 1 species